GACGAACGCUGGCGGCGUGCCUAAUACAUGCAAGUCAACUGAAGCAGUUGUAGCAAUAUGACUGCGGAGGUGGCGCACGGGUGAGUAACACGUAGGUAAUCUGCCUUCAGGACUGACACAACUCCGAGAAAUCGGAGCUAAUAUCAGAUAAUGCAGCGGCUUGACAUCAAGACAGUUGUUAAAGCUUCGGCGCCUGGAGAUGAGCCUGCGCCCCAUUAGGUAGUUGGCGGAGUAAAAGCCCACCAAGCCUGCGAUGGGUAGCUGGUCUGAGAGGAUGAUCAGCCACACUGGAACUGAGACACGGUCCAGACUCCUACGGGAGGCAGCAGUAAGGAAUAUUGCUCAAUGGCCGAAAGGCUGAAGCAGCAACGCCGCGUGAGGGAUGAAGACCUUAUGGUUGUAAACCUCUGUAGAAGGGGAGAAAUUCUC
rnacentral:rRNA from 1 species